rnacentral:misc_RNA from 1 species
CUAUCAUAAACUUUCUUUUUUUCCUAUCCAUUUACAUUUUAGUCUUCUCUUUGCUGCUUGUUUUCAUCAACAGUCCUAAGUUCUGCAAAAAUUAUAAGAUCAUCCACCACUCUUUCGUGAGGCUUUCCCGUUAUUAGUUCAGAGAGUGCAGAAGUAACCCUAGAAGAAGUACCUGUUUUCAGGAGGAAUAAAGGAGAGAACAGAGAACACACAAUCAUAAACAGCAUAUCAAUUUAUAUAAGAUCCAUCUGAGAAACGAAACAGCCACAAAAUCAUGGAGUCAAUCCCUGAAAUGAACAGCUCCAACUCUGAAAACACCAGCUUCAACAACAAAAGCACUGCCACCAUGACCACCACGACAACCACUACUAUCUCGGCGGCAACUUCAUCAUCACCAUCAUCAUCCACCACUCCUAGCCGCUAUGAGAACCAAAAG